rnacentral:rRNA from 1 species
UACGUAGGUGGCAAGCGUUGUCCGGAUUUACUGGGCGUAAAGAGCGCGCAGGCGGUCGUUCAAGUCGCGUGUGAAAGCCCCCGGCUCAACUGGGGAGGGUCACGCGAUACUGAUCGACUGGAAGGCAGGAGAGGGUAGUGGAAUUCCCGGUGUAGUGGUGAAAUGCGUAGAUAUCGGGAGGAACACCAGUGGCGAAGGCGACUACCUGGCCUGUUCUUGACGCUGAGGCGCGAAAGCUAGGGGAG